UACGGGGGGAGCAAGCGUUGUUCGGAUUUACUGGGCGUAAAGGGCUCGUAGGCGGCCAACUAAGUCAGACGUGAAAUCCCUCGGCUUAACCGAGGAACUGCCUGUCAGACUGGAAGGCUUGAGACCGGGAGAGGAUAGUGGAAUUCCCCAAGUAGAGGUGAAAUUCGUAGAUAUGGGGAGGAACACCGGUGGCGAAGGCGGCCACCUGGACGGUCACUGACGCUGAGACGCGAAAGCGUGGGUAGCAAACAGG
rnacentral:rRNA from 1 species